UUGAGGUACCACUGCCUCAGAAAGCGGGACAGGAGCCUGGGACAGUAGAAUUUUUGGACCCUAUAGAUCAAACACCGAGGGAAGGAAGAUUAUACUACACCGACUACGAGACCUGUGCCAUUCUUGAUUUCGAGUUUCUCGGGCAUCAAUGCGCUCUUUGGGUUCGGAGAGACGUCGCCAACUCCUUGUCGAAAGAAUGCAUCGACCAAUUUGAGGACACCUGCGGCGUCGUGGUUCCUGAGAACCGCAGAAUACACUGUGGUGACGAGAGUAU
rnacentral:lncRNA from 1 species